rnacentral:rRNA from 1 species
AGAGUUUGAUCCUGGCUCAGGAUCAACGCUGGCGGCGUGCCUUACGCAUGCAAGUCGGACGGGCUCGGCUUUCGGGUCGAGCGCCGUGGCGGACGGGUGCGUAACACGUAGGCAACCUGCCCUGGGGUGGGGGAUAACCCGCGGAAACGUGGGGUAAUUCCGCAUACGUCGGUCGGGCGGUGGGCCUGAUCGGGAAAGCCUUUGGGCGCCCUAGGAGGGGCCUGCGGCCGAUUAGCUUGUUGGUGGGGUAACGGCCUACCAAGGCGAUGAUCGGUAGCUGGUCUGAGAGGACGGCCAGCCACAGGGGGACUGAGACACGGCCCCCACUCCUACGGGAGGCAGCAGCGAGGGAUUUUCCGCAAUGGGCGAAAGCCUGACGGAGCGACGCCGCGUGGGCGAGGACGCCCUUCGGGGUGUAAACCCCUUUUGGUGGGGAAGAAGAUCUGACGGUACCCGCCGAAGAAGGCCCGGCUAACUACGUGCC